AAGCCCAAAAAAAAAAGGAAAACAAACGGACAAAAUUAAAAGAGGGUGGCAGAGACAUUAAUAAUAGUCAGAGCCUUUUUCUGUACAUCAUUAAAGUAUAUCAAAGUGAGUUCUUUAGGUAAAAAGUCUAAGAAUCUGAAAGCACAUUUCUUUCUUAUGGAUUCCUUUGCCAACCAAUCAGCCAACUGAUUAGCUUCUCUAUUGAUGUGUUUGAAGACUAAUUCCCACGGUCUCCUCCUAAAAUUAGCAACCUCCAUUACCGCCUCAUUGUGGUGUUCAUCAUUGUGGAUACAAUUGUUGAUUAUGUCCACAAUUUCUAUUGAAUCAACCUCAACCUCUAGUCUCUUCAUUACCAAAUCCGUGGCCAUGCGUAACCCAUGGAUUACACUCCAGAGCUCUGCCUCCGCUGGAGAGCAGUCACCUAGACAUGCCAUGAAGCUUCCAACCCACUCUCCAUUGCUGGUCCGCAGUAAGCCUCCACAUCCACUUUUUUACUUUGAUGGUGAGCGGAUCCAUCAGUGUUCAACUUAACCCAACCAGAUGGAGGUGGCUGCCAAGUUGAAAUAGAUUUUUUGGGUGCUUUGGACUCUGCGAAGAGGUUCAGCUCUAUCCACUCUUCAAGAGUUGUGGUCAGAAAUCUCAUAACAGUGCUGGGCUGAAUUAACUUACCCCAAACUGUAGUAGCUUGUGGAUAAUCCCUCAGGGCAUGGAGGAUGGUUUCUUUCAAUUGGGACACUUGUGGUAGAAGGGUGUUGUGCUCAUCAUUUUGGCCUUCCUCUUUGCAGUUAGAAAUCUUCCAUGAGCCAAUUGCCAGUAAUGCAAGGAAUGAAUGAAAUUCAUGAAGACCAAGAAAGUUAGAUAAGGGAAACUCCGUUUUCAACUGCAUAAACUCGAAAAUGAAGAGGGUCAGAGAAAUGCAC